AUCCAGACUCCUACGGGAGGCAGCAGUGGGGAAUAUUGCACAAUGGGGGAAACCCUGAUGCAGCGACGCCGCGUGAGCGAUGAAGUAUUUCGGUAUGUAAAGCUCUAUCAGCAGGGAAGAAAAUGACGGUACCUGACUAAGAAGCCCCGGCUAACUACGUGCCAGCAGCCGCGGUAAUACGUAGGGGGCAAGCGUUAUCCGGAUUUACUGGGUGUAAAGGGAGCGUAGACGGCAAUGCAAGCCAGAUGUGAAAGCCCGGGGCUCAACCCCGGGACUGCAUUUGGAACUGUGUAGCUGGAGUGUCGGAGAGGCAGGCGGAAUUCCUAGUGUAGCGGUGAAAUGCGUAGAUAUUAGGAGGAACACCAGUGGCGAAGGCGGCCUGCUGGACGAUGACUGACGUUGAGGCUCGAAAGCGUGGGGAGCAAACAGGAUUAGAUACCCCGGUA
rnacentral:rRNA from 1 species